AUGUCACCUGGGAGCAUCCCUGGGUCACACCCAUGUCACCUGAGAACAUCCUCACGUCACCCCAUGUCACCUGGGAACAUCUCCAUGUCACACCUAUGUCACCUCAGAGCAUCUCUGGGUCAUCUCACAUCCUCUUGGAGUAUCCUCAUGUCACCUUAUGUCACCUGGGAGCAUCCCUGGGUCACACCCAUGUCACCUGAGAACAUCCUCACGUCACCCCAUGUCACCUGGGAACAUCUCCAUGUCACACCUAUGUCACCUCAGAGCAUCUCUGGGUCAUCUCACAUCCUCCUGGAGCAUCCUCAUGUCACCUUGGUGCAUCCCUGGGCUACCCUGGGUAACCAUGGAGCAUCCUCACGUCACUCCACAUCACCUCGGAACAGCCCUGGGUCACACCCAUAUCACCUUGGAGCAUUCUCAUGUCACCUUGCAGCAUUUCUAGGUCACACCCACAUCAUCCCAGAGCAUCCUGAUGACAUCCCACGUCGCCUCGGAGCAUCCCUGGCUGGCCCCAUGUCACCUCAGAACCUUCAUGUGUCACCCUGUGUCCUCUCAGAGCAUCCCUGGCUGGCCACGUGUCACCUCACAACAUCCCUGGGUCACAUCCAUGUCACCUCAGAGCAUUCUCAUGUCACCUUGAAGCAUCUGCAGGUCACACCUAUGUCACCCCAGAGCAUCUCUGGGUCAUCCCACAUCCACUUGGAGCAUCCUCAUGUCACGCCAUGUCACCUUAGACAUCUCUGGGUCAUCCCAUGCCCUCUUAGAGCAUCCCUGGGUCACCCCAUGUCACCUCCGAGAAUCUCCACGUCACAUCAACAUCAUCCUAGAGCAUCCCUGGGUCACAUCAUGUCCUCUUGGAGCAUCCCUGGGUCACCUCAAAGCAACAUAGGUGACCCCAUGUCAUCUCCAAGCAUCCUCAUGUCACCCCAUGUCACCUCAGAGCAGCUUCAAGUCACACCUGUGUCAUCCCAGAGCAUCUCUGGUUCACCCCAUGUCACCUCGGAGCAUCUCUGGGUCACAUCUAUGUCACCUUACUGGACUUCUGGGUCGCCUUAUGUCACCUUAGAGCAUCUUCAUGUCACCUCAGAGCAUCCCUGGGUCACCCCAUGUCACCUCGGAGCAUCUCCAGGUCACACCUAUGUCACUUCAAAGCAUCUCUGGGUCGUCCCACAUCCUCUUGGAGCAUCCUCAUGUCACCUUGGUGAAUCCCUUAUGUCACCUCAGAGCAUCCUCAUGUCACCUUAUGUCACCUCAGAGCAUCCUCAUGUCACCUCAGAGCAUCCCUGGGUCACAUCUAUGUCACCUUAG
rnacentral:lncRNA from 1 species